AGACGGCCGGACGGCCGCAUCGAAAGAUGAGGAAAGUCCGAGCAUCACAGGGCAGAGCGACGGGUAACCCCCGCUGAAGGCGACUUUAAGGAUAGUGCAACAGAAAUAAACCGCGGUCUUUGACCGUAAGGAUGGAAAGGUGCGGUAAGAGCGCACCAGCAGUUCGGCAACGAAAUUGGCUGUGUAAACCCCGCUCGAUGCAAGAGAAGUAAACGAUUACGCCUGCCCGGCGCGUUUCAAAAUCGCUUGAGCGUUCCGGUAACGGUUCGCCUAGACAGAUGGCCGUUCAAGACAGAACUCGGCUUACAGACCGUCUCG
rnacentral:RNase_P_RNA from 1 species